AAAGUGAGAAAAAAAAAAAAAAUGGAAUAAUAUCAAUAUCGAGUACUUAACUGUCAUAGGUAUGUAAUCCCCGACACAAUUUCCUGACGAAAUUUUCAAUAUCUAUUUUCUUACUCCUCCUGGUGUGCCAAAACCGUCGUCCAGCUCACGAAGACACAAACAGCUGCAUUCAUGAUUAGGUGAAGGAAAAGG
rnacentral:ribozyme from 16 species